CUAAGAGCUAUGAAACCGAGGAGUAUAAAUUAAGUACUUGAAGAGAGUAUAUGGUUGGUGAAAAUAUACAGUAACUGAUUUAGAAGGUAGCGUGUGGAGCAAUAUUCCUGAGUUUAGUAGGGAAUACGUUAGUGGCGUUAACACAUAAUGAAGAGACUAUUUAGUAAAUAAGGUGGUACCGCGGGAAAACUCGUCCUUAAA
rnacentral:ncRNA from 1 species